rnacentral:rRNA from 1 species
AGACGAACCGUACAAACGUUAUCCGGAAUCACUGGGCUUAAAGGGUACGUAGGCGGCCUGGCAAGUUGGGUGUGAAAUCCCUCGGCUCAACCGAGGAAUUGCACUCAAAACUGCUAGGCUUGAGGGAGAUAGAGGUGAGCGGAACUCAGGGUGGAGCGGUGGAAUGCGUUGAUAUCCUGGGGAACACCAGUUGCGAAGGCGGCUCACUGGGUCUCUUCUGACGCUGAGGUACGAAAGCUAGGGGAGCGAACGGGAUUAGAUACCCCGGUAGUCCUAGCUGUAAACGUUGAGCACUAGAUCGGAGGAUUUCGGUUUUCCGGUCGUAGCGAAAGUGUUAAGUGCUCCGCCUGGGGAGUAUGGUCGCAAGGCUGAA